AAUGCCGGAUAAUNNGCGGAACCGCAUGGUUCCGCAAUGAAAAGACGGUUUUGCUGUCACUUAUAGAUGGACCCGCGCCGUAUUAGCUAGUUGGUAAGGUAACGGCUUACCAAGGCAACGAUACGUAGCCGACCUGAGAGGGUGAUCGGCCACACUGGAACUGAGACACGGUCCAGACUCCUACGGGAGGCAGCAGUAGGGAAUCUUCCGCAAUGGGCGAAAGCCUGACGGAGCAACGCCGCGUGAGUGAUGAAGGUCUUCGGAUCGUAAAACUCUGUUAUUAGGGAAGAACAAGUGCGUAGGUAACUAUGCGCACCUUGACGGUACCUAAUCAGAAAGCCACGGCUAACUACGUGCCAGCAGCCGCGGUAAUACGUAGGUGGCAAGCGUUAUCCGGAAUUAUUGGGCGUAAAGCGCGCGUAGGCGGUUUUUUAAGUCUGAUGUGAAAGCCCACGGCUCAACCGUGGAGGGUCAUUGGAAACUGGAAAACUUGAGUGCAGAAGAGGAAAGUGGAAUUCCAUGUGUAGCGGUGAAAUGCGCAGAGAUAUGGAGGAACACCAGUGGCGAAGGCGACUUUCUGGUCUGCAACUGACGCUGAUGUGCGAAAGCGUGGGGAUCAAACAGNNNNNNNNNNCCUGGUAGUCCACGCCGUAAACGAUAAGUGCUAAGUGUUAGGGGGUUUCCGCCCCUUAGUGCUGCAGCUAACGC
rnacentral:rRNA from 1 species